GGACAGGACAGAUAAGAGACAGGAAGUAGUAAGGCAGAGCUGAGAGAGGAUGUCAGCAGUCCUUUUGGACGGAGGAACAGAAGAGAGAGGAGCAUCAGUUGCCCCAUGAAGUUUCAAGGGUGGGACCCUGGAGAUCUAUCCCAGCACUGAGACUCCUUGGGCCUCUCAUCUUUUCAGGCACCAGAACUCAGCAGGAAACCACUCAACUGCAAAUCCAAUUGAAGUGAAUAGUGGAGAACCAAAGCACACAGAUUCAGUGCAUUUUCAGAGACUUCUGGGGGCCCAGGCUGCAGGAGACAAUGAUGGAAAAGAAAGACCAGUUGCUGUGUUUUCCUGGUGACAGACAUAGUGUUGGUGGCAUGGAUGAACUCCCCUGGGAACAGCACCGUGGCAAGAAUUUCCCAGGCUGAUCUAAUUCUCCUGUGUAAUUCACAGAUUUAAACACAUCCCCUCUCUUUAGGCUCUCUAAUAAAACCUAAAGGAUUUACAGUUC